rnacentral:rRNA from 1 species
UAAACGAUGUCAACUAGCCGUUGGGACUCUUGAAGUCUUAGUGGCGCAGCUAACGCACUAAGUUGACCGCCUGGGGAGUACGGCCGCAAGGUUAAAACUCAAAUGAAUUGACGGGGGCCCGCACAAGCGGUGGAGCAUGUGGUUUAAUUCGACGCAACGCGAAGAACCUUACCUGGCCUUGACAUGCAGAGAACUUUCCAGAGAUGGAUUGGUGCCUUCGGGAACUCUGACACAGGUGCUGCAUGGCCGUCGUCAGCUCGUGUCGUGAGAUGUUGGGUUAAGUCCCGUAACGAGCGCAACCCCUAUCCCUAGUUGCUAGCAGUUCGGCUGAGAACUCUAGGGAGACUGCCGGUGACAAACCGGAGGAAGGUGGGGAUGACGUCAGGUCAUCAUGGCCCUUACGGCCAGGGCUACACACGUGCUACAAUGGUGCGUACAGAGGGCUGCAAACCCGCGAGGGGGAGCUAAUCUCACAAAACGCAUCGUAGUCCGGAUCGGAGUCUGCAACUCGACUCCGUGAAGUCGGAAUCGCUAGUAAUCGCGAAUCAGAAUGUCGCGGUGAAUACGUUCCCGGGCCUUGUACACACCGCCCGUCACACCAUGGGAGUGGAUUGCACCAGAAGUGGUUAGUCUAACCUUCGGAAGGACGAU